UACGUAGGGGGCAAGCGUUGUCCGGAUUUAUUGGGCGUAAAGAGCGUGUAGGCGGCCUGACAGGUCUGCUGUGAAACUCGAGGCUCAACCUCGAGAUGUCGGCGGAAACCGUCUGGCUAGAGUCCGGAAGAGGAGAGUGGAAUUCCUGGUGUAGCGGUGAAAUGCGCAGAUAUCAGGAAGAACACCUAUGGCGAAGGCAGCUCUCUGGGACGGUACUGACGCUGAGACGCGAAAGCGUGGGGAG
rnacentral:rRNA from 1 species